rnacentral:rRNA from 1 species
GCUACACAUGCAAGUCGAGCGAGAAGUAAAGAAAUGAAGCUUCGGUAGAUUUUCAUUAUGGAAAGCGGCGGACGGGUGAGUAACGCGUAGGCAACCUGCCCUGUACAGGGGGAUAGCCACCCGAAAAGGUGAUUAAUACCCCAUGAUGCAAGAGAUACACAUGUAUCACUUGUCAAAGAUUUAUCGGUAUGGGAUGGGCCUGCGUCUGAUUAGCUAGUUGGUAGGGUAACGGCUUACCAAGGCAACGAUCAGUAGCCGACCUGAGAGGGUGAUCGGCCACAUUGGAACUGAGACACGGUCCAAACUCCUACGGGAGGCAGCAGUGGGGAAUAUUGCACAAUGGGGGAAACCCUGAUGCAGCAACGCCGCGUGAAGGAAGAAGGCCUUCGGGUUGUAAACUUCUGUCCUAGGGGAAGAAACAAAUGACAUUACCCUUGGAGGAAGCCCCGGCUAACUACGUGCCAGCAGCCGCGGUAAUACGUAGGGGGCGAGCGUUAUCCGGAAUUAUUGGGCGUAAAGAGUGCGUAGGUGGCAUCUUAAGCGCAGGGUUUAAGGCAAUGGCUCAACCAUUGUUCGCCUUGCGAACUGGGGUGCUUGAGUGCAGGAGGGGAAAGUGGAAUUCCUAGUGUAGCGGUGAAAUGCGUAGAUAUUAGGAGGAACACCAGUGGCGAAGGCGACUUUCUGGACUGUUACUGACACUGAGGCACGAAAGCGUGGGGAGCAAACAGGAUUAGAUACCCUGGUAGUCCACGCCGUAAACGAUGAGCACUAGGUGUCGGGGUCGCAAGACUUC